CCGAUGUGCAAGCACAGAAGGCCUGACACGCACUGUUGAAUGGCGGCGCACAUAGGACAAACAAACAUGGCAGCGAGUAAGAUCAUCCGCAUUUACCUUGAUUGAAUUAGCUAGAAUUGGUGGGUUUGGUAAUUAGUGCCCUCGAGGGGAGUUUACCUGUCUUCAACAGCCAGGCUAGAGGAAGUCGUUGUGGCCGAGUGGACUUACGCACUGGUUUGACAGUCUUGCUAGGCGGUGGGUGCCGCAGGUCGCUGGUUCGACCCCGGGCUGGGGCGAAAAUUUUCACUACCUAGUUGUGAUUAUUUAGUGCUUUAUAUAUUAAUUAAUUGAUUAUCACAUGUAUCGUUUAGAUCCUUGGGGUAAACGUAAGGUUGGGUGUUAUAAUUGUUUGUUUGUGCUUUAUAUUAAAUAUUCUAUGCAAUUGCAUCGAGA